CACGGGCUAAGAGUGAUGCACGGAGGGGCUGAAGGUUUGAGGAGCACGUGGGGUAUGCAGAGGUCACCUAGCAGAUUCCUGGGCAGCAUCAAGGGUUCCGUCAAGCUCUCACAGAAGUGAGCAUGAAAAAAAGAGAAGAAGAGGGGAGGAAAAAUGAGAAGAGACAAGUUUCUCUCUGGGAGAAGCAAUUCUAGUCCUGAAUUCUCAACUGUGCAUUCCACCUCAGAAAGCCAGUGACCGCCUCUGCUGAGCACAGGGUGACAAACUGGGCUGGAUCCAGGCUGGAGCCAGGCAGUGGGUGGCAGCUUCUGCCUCAAUCUUUCUGCAGUCUCCCUUCCCCAUUCCAAUCACGAUAAAUAUAUUUAUACUUACUUGAUUAUGUCAGCCAGACAAUACUCCCCUAAUUGGC
rnacentral:lncRNA from 1 species